UACAGAGGUCCCGAGCGUUGUUCGGAUUCACUGGGCGUAAAGGGCGCGUAGGCGGGCCAGCCAGUCUGUGGUGAAAGCCUCCAGCUUAACUGGAGAAGUGCCGUGGAUACUGCUGGCCUCGAGGAGGAUAGGGGCAUCUGGAACGGUCGGUGGAGCGGUGAAAUGCGUUGAUAUCGACCGGAACUCCGGUGGCGAAGGCGAGGUGCUGGGUCCUUUCUGACGCUGAUGCGCGAAAGCCAGGGGAGCAAACGGG
rnacentral:rRNA from 1 species